ensembl:lncRNA LINC01478 long intergenic non-protein coding RNA 1478
GUGGAUGGUGAGCCACGUGAAUGGAAGACAUGGAGAUAUGGACUGUUAACACCUUGUCAAACAUUUAUUGUCCCUUCCACCUCUAAACUUCUGUGAUAAUAGGUGAACAGGACCCACGUGGUGCAGAAUACUGCGAUACACACUGCGGAAUAAUUCAGUGCAGAACAACACGUGGAUUGCUCAGUACAACUUGUUCAUCACAUCCUCCUGUUCACUGAAGAAUUAUGGAAAUAUUCUCUGAGCUGCUUUCCUCCCUGCCCAACGAGUCAUCUCUGUGUGAAAGGCCAAGCUUAUAAAUCCUGGGAAACUGGAAAUGAAAAGAAAAACACUGAGCCCCACAGUUUCAAGUCGGAGACAAAUUAUCUCAAGUGCUCCAGAACUUCUGGACUAGCUUUCAUGAUGGAAAAAGUGUUCUCUUCAUACUACCAAGAAACAUGAUGAGCUGAGAUUCCAGCCAUAGUUCUUUAGGAUCCACAGCACGACUUGCAGUAAACGGCGCUAGAAGAAAGAGACAUUAUACAAAUGCAAGCUGUUGUCACAACAAUGAUAAGAAAUCAGGAGUCGAAAGAUGUGGAGUAAGGGGGAAUUUCAGAGAAACCACAAAACACAAAAUAGGAAACAGAGACAGGAGAAGAUUGCUAUGACAAAAUUGCAGAAGGUGAAAUCUUUGGCAGCCUCUUAUUUCUCUGGAGAAUAUGAUAUUGUCAGGCUGAGGUGGAAGAAUCACAUGGUCAUACUGUUGAAGAGGUCUUGAAACAUUGGGCUUUCCUCUACAAGCGGAAGGAUAGCACUGGCAGCCAUCCACUGGCCCAGCAAUAUCCUGGAUUGAGACGAUAUCAUUUGCAUUACUUGCUGAAUGAAACAUAGUGAAAAUGACUGCAGAUAACCUCAACUAAGUCCAAGAUAUCAUUUUCAAAUCUGGACCAGCCCUUGCCAUCUAGACUGAACAGAGAUUCCAGUUUCCAGGAGAGUAGAUGGAGUAAUGAUAAAAGCACCUCCCAAAACUUUUGCCUUGCUCCAUCAAAACUUAUAAAAUCUUGGGAAGAGGAACUGUGGCCCAUCACUGAUCAUUUCAUCUAUUAAGUGACCACUUAUUGUCUUAUAAUAGGAGAUGUUCUGGAAACAUGCAUUGAAUCGAAGUGGCUUUGAGGAAGCAUGAAGAGAAAACAGGAUGGCAUCCUUUUGGCACCAUUUCUUAUGCUAUAAUAAGGAUUCCUUCUGUUUACACAUAAAACAGAAGAGUUUAAUCACCCCAGCAAUCUUUAACUUGGUAAUGAAGGCCAUAAAUUAAAUUUUAAGCAAAGUUAAAGAAGAUGAGAUGAAAUAUAAAACAAAAACAUCAUCAGAAUCUGCCCAGGAACAAUAUUCUUGACACCAAACCAUGACAUUAUGGGGCUCAGUUGUUUGUUUCUAGGGCAGCCCCUUGUUUUAUGUGCCAAAUAGCAUUUCCCUAAAUAAAACUGCAUGGAACAAAAU